rfam:Xenopus tropicalis strain Nigerian scaffold_9047_contig_2, whole genome shotgun sequence.
GCCUACGGCCAUACCACCCUGAAAGCGCCCGAUCUCGUCUGAUCUCGGAAGCUAAGCAGGGACGGGCCUGGAUGGGAGACCGCCUGGGAAUACCAGGUGUUGAGUUCC